UACGAGGGGUGCAAGCGUUACUCGGAAUUACUGGGCGUAAAGCGUGCGUAGGUGGUUCGUUAAGUCUGAUGUGAAAGCCCUGGGCUCAACCUGGGAAUGGCAUUGGAUACUGGCGACCUAGAGUGCGGUAGAGGGGUGUGGAAUUCCCGGUGUAGCAGUGAAAUGCGUAGAUAUCGGGAGGAACAUCUGUGGCGAAGGCGACACCCUGGACCAGCACUGACACUGAGGCACGAAAGCGUGGGGAGCAAACAGG
rnacentral:rRNA from 1 species